UUGGAGAAUUUGAUCCUGGCUCAGAACGAACGCUGGCGGCAGGCUUAACACAUGCAAGUCGAGCGCCCCGCAAGGGGAGCGGCAGACGGGUGAGUAACGCGUGGGAACGUACCAUUUGCUACGGAAUAACUCAGGGAAACUUGUGCUAAUACCGUAUGUGCCCUUCGGGGGAAAGAUUUAUCGGCAAAUGAUCGGCCCGCGUUGGAUUAGCUAGUUGGUGGGGUAAAGGCUCACCAAGGCGACGAUCCAUAGCUGGUCUGAGAGGAUGAUCAGCCACACUGGGACUGAGACACGGCCCAGACUCCUACGGGAGGCAGCAGUGGGGAAUAUUGGACAAUGGGCGCAAGCCUGAUCCAGCCAUGCCGCGUGAGUGAUGAAGGCCCUAGGGUUGUAAAGCUCUUUCACCGGUGAAGAUAAUGACGGUAACCGGAGAAGAAGCCGGCUAYUCU
rnacentral:rRNA from 1 species